UUCCGGAGGUGGAACCGUCUGUCCCUUG
rnacentral:sRNA from 1 species